UCAUAGUCAAAUAUGUUUCAAAAUCAGUAUCUUUAAAAAUAGAAAAGGGUAAAAAAAAAAAAAAAAGCAUAAAGCAUAAAGUACUCUCAUGAGUACUCCUGCUCGGCAGGCGGCGAAACUACUUCCGACAAAAGCGGAAAUGACGACACGUCAGAGUUGCACUUCACUCCACGUGUGAGAGCAGUAGAGUCCACAUUGGCAGCUCCGCAGCUCCACCAUGAAGCGACCAAAGUUAAAGAAAGCGAGUAAGAAGCUCACAUGCUC